UACGUAGGGGGCGAGCGUUGUCCGGAAUCAUUGGGCGUAAAGAGCUCGUAGGCGGUUCAGUAAGUCAGGUGUGAAAGCUCCGAGCUCAACUCGGAGAGGCCACCUGAUACUGCUGUGACUAGAAUCCAGUAGGGGAGUGUGGAACUCCUGGUGUAGCGGUGAAAUGCGCAGAUAUCAGGAAGAACACCAGCGGCGAAGGCGGCACUCUGGGCUGGAAUUGACGCUGAGGAAGCGAAAGUGUGGGUAGCGAAACAGG
rnacentral:rRNA from 1 species